CAGAGGAUGGACCAGGUGCUGUGAGUCCGCUAACGGGGUCGGACCCCGAGCGGGACGUUCGGCGAGGAGACGGAGACGGACUCGUGUGGAGCGUCUGGUCGACCACCGUUGUUGGUCCCAGGCGGCCGGUCGAGGUGGUCCGAGGGGGGUCGCAGGGUGAAGAAGAAGGUCCAACGGUUUUUGUGCACGAAGAGAUUGAACUUUGAUAAGUGUGGCGCCUUUUAUUUUCCUUUUAUAUUUUAUUCUCUUUUAAUUAUAUAGUUCCAGUAAUAUCUAUAAACUGUAAAUCAUUUAAUUGCAUCUGGUGUAUUGUCUGUUAUUUGGGCGGGGUGGGGUACCUCACACAGCAUCCACACAAACUAAUUACCCAGUUUGGAGGGGCCGAGACUGUUUCCCUAGACGACAGCGAGCCGAGCGACCCUGAGGGUGGCCGGGCGGGCUACAGUUGCAAAACACAUUCAGCGUCAUUUGGGUGUGUUUUGUACUGGGAGAAUAUACAGUUUAAACAUUGUUCCAUGCACAGGGAGUAAAAGUUUAGAAGAGGUUUACCAGGAUGCUGCCUGGACUAGCUGUAAGAAAUUGGACAAAAUUGGGUUGGCUUCUCUGGAGUGUUGGAGGCUAAGGGGAGAUGUGAUUGAGGUUUACAGAAUUGUGAGAGGCAUACACAGCAUGCUGUGUAUUUGAAAUGUUACCAAACACUCCUUCCACUCAGAGCAAGGACGCUCUCAAGUGAGUAAGUCUUGACCUUGGAGCGAUAGCUACUGGAGCACUGGAGAAGUCAAGGAGAACAUUUUGUUAUUGCCUAUACCUCUGUUGCUUUGAGAACCCUUCAGCUGCUGGCUCAUACAGAGAGAGUCAGUAUUAUUUUCCCAGGGCGGAAUUGUCUAAUGCUGGAGGGAGUGUGUUGAGGGUGAGAAGGAGUAAACUUUAAUCAAUUUGGCAAUGUGUUUGGCCAGUCAUUAUGGACUAAAGAGCCUGUUCCUGGCCGGUGUUCCUGGCCGGUGUUCCUGGCCGGUGUUCCUGGUCCGUGUUCCUGGCCCGUGUUCCUGGCCCGUGUUCCUGGCCCAUGUUUCUGGUCCGUACUGCUCUAUGUCGAUGUGGGAUGUUGUGUCUUUGUGCUCACUUCUGCAGUACGUUCAAUACAAUGAUUUGAUCUGCUACCUCAACCUCACUUUUAUUCACAAGCUGAUUCUCUUAGUUUUCAAUAAUCUACUUGAAUGGGGUAGCCCACCCCAGCCACAGAACUUAACCAUAACAUGUUAAAGGUUAAACAUAGUGCAGUUUUUACAACGAACUUGGACUUGAUUAGUGACAGCUUUUUGGAUACAAAAUCAUAAGGUUUUGAUGAUAAAUAAAGAGUAUCUAUGGGAAAUCAUCUGGUAAUAUAAUCAAAGACUAAUUGAGGAUUGUGGGCUUUUGGCCUGAUGUGCUAAUGAUGUGUUUUUCAAAGAGCUGCCACUUCUCUAUUACUGCUCAUAGGCUAAACUGUCUCAGAACUCCAGAGACCCUAAACUUCAAUGCCAUCUGUGUGGAGUCUGCAGGAUUUCCCUGUGGUGGUGGGUGUUCCUGUUUCAGCACCCAUCUCAAAAGUGUGCAGGUUGGUACAUUAGUCUGUCACCGUUCAUUACACCUAGUGUGUAGGUGAGUGGUAGAAACAGUGGGGGGAGGGGAAGAGUUCUUGAGCAUGUGUGGAGAAUAAAGAAGGUUAGGGUAGGAUUUGUGCAAAUAAACUGAUCAGUACAGACAUGAUGGGCUGAAAGGUCUUUUUCUGUGGUGUCUCUAAAUCAUUCUUUCUAUUUUUUUUAGCAUUGCUUUGCAGGCUUGGAUAAAAUUCAAGUUUGUGUGCUUUGCUCCGGAUUUCCAGCAUCUGCAGAAUCUCUUGUGAUUAGAAGAUACAGAAGCCUGAAGUCUCACACCACCAGGUUCAAGAACAGCUACUUUGCUACGACCGUCAGCUAAUUGAACUGGCCUGUCCAACUCUAACUCUACCUCAGCAACCAAGGACUACAGCUUAUUUCUUUCGUUACCACAGAGAACUGGAAUAAACUUGAAGGUCAAAUGGCCUCCUGCAGGUACUCAAUGAAAUGUGAGGCAGGGGUUGAUAAUGUCUUCAGGGAUGAUGUGAAGAUGACCCCAGCCAAGCUGUAAUGAAAAGGACUCUCAACAAGUGAACAUGCAUGUGCGAAAUAAAACGUUCCUUUGAUAAAUAAAAUUCUAAGGAUAAGACUUCAUAGAAUCCAAGAUAUCUUCAAGGAGUGAUGCCUCAGAAAGGCAGCAUCGAUUAUUAAGGACCUCCAUCAACCAGGACAUGUCCUCUUCUCAUUACUACCAUCAGGAAGGAGGUACAGGACCCUGAAGACACACACUCAGUGAUUCAGGAACAGUUUCUUCCCCUCUGCCACGCGAUUCCUAAGUGGACAUUGAACCCGUGAACACUACCUCACUUUUAUUAUUUCUGUUUUUGCACUACUAUUUUUAAAUUUAACCAUUUAAUAUACAUAUAUACUUACUGUAAUUGAUUUACUUAUUUUUUUCCUAUAUUAUCAUUUAUUGCAUUGUACAGGUGCCGCUAAGUUAACAAAUUUCACGACAUAUGCCAGUGAUAUUAAAUCCGAUUCUGAUUCUGAAAGAGGAGAACAUUUGGGAGAAAAAAUGCUGGAAAAUCUUUUUAGCCCAAAUGGGAUUCUGAUAUAUGCAAGGAAUGGCAAAAUUUACACUAUAAUGUUAUGUAUUUGACUCAAGCAGUAGGAAUACCAGGGACAUAUUGUCUCGGUAGAAUUAAAAAGCAAUAAUCAGAUAAGAGUUUUAGAAAUUUGCUACUAUACGUUUUACAAAAUUGAACCUUUGUUAAACAAGUAUAUCUCCAUUUGUGUUAAUUGUGGGAUUUGUUAAUCGGCAGGAACACCACACCUUACAAGGGGGAUAAGACACAAAUGAAAAAGACAUUAAAUAUGGUAAAAUGUCUGAAUGAUAUUAAUGAGUCUGUCUCCCUCCUUUCUGAUCUAUUGUUAGCACUCCUUUAGUGCAAAUACCUGCUUUGUGGAACACACACAAAGUACUGGGGGAACUCAGCGUGUCAGGCAGAUCUACAGAAAUGAGUCCCGCCAAAGAGCUUCAGUCCAAAAUGUCGACUGUACUCUUUUCCUAGAUGCUGCCUGGCCGACUGUUCCUCCAGCAUUUUGUGUGUGUUGUUUAGAUUUCCAGCAACUACAGAUUUUCUCUUGUUUCUGUUUCUAUGGAAAUGAAUAUAUUUUCUACAGAUGCAGCCUGAACUGCUGUGUCCCUCCAGUACUUUUUGUGUGUUAUUCUGAAUUUCCAGCUCAGCAGAAUCUUCUGCGUUUAUUAAUACCUGCUAUGUGAAUGUUUUAACACAUGUAAUAACUGAUGUUUAAUAGUCAGAAUAAAUAUCUUCUUACCUAACUAUCAAAAAUUUUAACCACCAUUGUAGCAUAAUGCUUUACAGUACAGGCAAACCAGGUUCAAUUCCCGCUGCUGUCUGUAUGUUCUCCGCAAGACCAUGUGAGUUC